rnacentral:tRNA from 2 species
GCCCCCGUAGCUUAAUGGAUAAAGUUUUUGUCUUCGGAACAAAAGAUCCGGGUUCGAGUCCUGGCGGGGGCACCA